UUGAACGCUGGCGGCAGGCCUAACACAUGCCAGUCGAACGGUAACAGGAAGCAGCUUGCUGCUUCGCUGACGAGUGGCGGACGGGUGAGUAAUGUCUGGGAAGCUGCCUGAUGGAGGGGGAUAACUACUGGAAACGGUAGCUAAUACCGCAUAAUGUCGCAAGACCAAAGAGGGGGACCUUCGGGCCUCUUGCCAUCGGAUGUGCCCAGAUGGGAUUAGCUUGUUGGUGGGGUAACGGCUCACCAAGGCGACGAUCCGUAGCUGGUCUGAGAGGAUGACCAGCCACACUGGAACUGAGACACGGUCCAGACUCCUACGGGAGGCAGCAGUGGGGAAUAUUGCACAAUGGGCGGAAGCCUGAUGCAGCCAUGCCGCGUGUAUGAAGAAGGCCUUCGGGUUGUAAAGUACUUUCAGCGGGGAGGAAGGGAGUAAAGUUAAUACCUUUGCUCAUUGACGUUACCCGCAGAAGAAGCACCGGCUAACUCCGUG
rnacentral:rRNA from 1 species